rnacentral:ncRNA from 1 species
UUGAGUAACGCAAAAAUUGGUAAGAAUCUAAUGCCCGAAAACCUAAGGGUUCUUCUACAAGGUUCAUCCACGGAGGGUGAGUCAGGGCCUAAGGUUAGGCCAAAAGGUGUAGUCGAUGGACAAAAUGUGAAUAUUCCUAUAAUACCCCUUGUUGGUCCCGAGGGACGGAGGAGGCUAGGCUAGUUGAAAGAUGGUUAUCAGUUCAAGGAUACGAGGUGCCCUUGCUUUUUUAAGGUAAGAAAGGGUAGAAAAAAUGCCACGAGCCAAUGUUCGAGUACUAGACGCUAUGGCACUGAAUUAACCCAUGCUAUACUCCGACGAAAAGCUCAAACGACCUUCAACAAAAGGAUACCUAUACGCGAAAUUGACACAAGUGGGUAGGUAGAGAAUACCUAAGGACCCAAUAGUACCCAUUUUUUGAAACGUCUAGUGCCAAAGUCAUGGAAUGGGUAAGUCGCCAA